UGAAGAGGUUUGGAAAGACCCACCACAGAAGGUAAUAGUCCUGUAUGUUAAACGAAAAGACUUUAGAUAUGAUCCAGAGUACCACGGGACACGUGAAACCCUGUGGGAAGCAGGAGGGACCACCCUCCAAGGCUAAAUACUACCUAGUGACCGAUAGCGUAUAGUACCGUGAGGGAAAGGUGAAAAGAACCCCGGGAGGGGAGUGAAAUAGAACCUGAAACCCUGCACUUACAAGCUGUGGAAGCACAUUUCUUGUGUGACCGCGUACUUUUUGUAGAACGGGCCAACGAGUUACGUUAAGUAGCAAGGUUAAGCACUUAAGGUGCGGAGCCGUAGCGAAAGCGAGUUUUAACUGAGCGUUCAGUUACUUGACGUAGACCCGAAACCGGGCGACCUACCCAUGAGCAGGAUGAAGCGAAAGUAAAAUUUCGUGGAGGUCCGAACCCACGAGCGUUGAAAAGCUCGGGGAUGACUUGUGGGUAGCGGUGAAAUUCCAAUCGAGCCCGGAGAUAGCUGGUUCUCCCCGAAAUAGCUUUAGGGCUAGCCUCAAGGUGAGAGAUACGGAGGUAGAGCACUGAAUGUCCUAGGGGGUAUUGCACCUACCGAAGACUAUCAAACUCCGAAUGCCGUCAUCUUAUACUUGGGAGUCAGACUGUGGGUGAUAAGAUUCAUAGUCGAAAGGGCAACAGCCCAGAUCGUCAGCUAAGGUCCCUAAAUGUAAGUUAAGUGGUAAAGGAUGUGGGAUUGCACAGACAACCAGGAUGUUGGCUUAGAAGCAGCCACUCAUUCAAAGAGUGCGUAAUAGCUCACUGGUCGAGUGAUCCUGCGCCGAAGAUUUCCGGGGCUAAAACUUACUACCGAAGCUACGGCAUCAGUAAUGAUGGGUAGGGGAGCUUCCCAUACGGGUUGAAGCAUGACCGUAAGGACAUGUGGACAGUAUGGGAGUGAGAAUGUUGGCAUGAGUAGCGAGAUGUGGGUGAGAAUCCCACAGGCCGUAAACCCAAGGUUUCCAGGGGAAGGUUCGUCCGCCCUGGGUUAGUCGGGACCUAAGCUGAGGCCGAAAGGCGUAGGUGAUGGACAACAGGUUGAUAUUCCUGUACUACCGAUAACCGUUUGAGAGAAGGGAUGACACAGUAGGAUAAGCUAAGCACACUGUUGGUUAUGUGUGCCCAAGCAUUGAGGCAGUCAAAGUAGGCAAAUCCGCUUUGAUAAUGCUGGGAUGUGAUGGGGAGCGAAAUUUAGUAGCGAAGUAGCUGAUUUCACACUGUCAAGAAAAGUCUCUAUCGAGGUUAAAGGUACCCGUACCGCAAACCGACACAGGUGGGUGAGGAGAGUAUCCUAAGGCCAGCGAGAGAACUGUUGUUAAGGAACUCGGCAAAAUGACCCCGUAACUUAGGGAUAAGGGGUGCCACCAUCAGGUGGCCGCAGAGAAUAGGCCCAAGCGACUGUUUACCAAAAACAUAGGUUUCUGCUAAGUCGCAAGACGAUGUAUAGGAGCUGACGCCUGCCCGGUGCUGGAAGGUUAAGGGGAUCUGUUAGAGCAAUCGAAGCAGUGAACUUAAGCCCCAGUAAACGGCGGCCGUAACUAUAACGGUCCUAAGGUAGCGAAAUUCCUUGUCGGGUAAGUUCCGACCCGCACGAAAGGCGUAACGAUUUGGGCACUGUCUCAACAACAGACUCGGUGAAAUUGUAAUUCCGGUGAAGAUGCCGGAUACCUGCGACAGGACGGAAAGACCCCAUGGAGCUUUACUGUAGCUUGACAUUGGGUCUUGGUACUACAUGUACAGGAUAGGUGGGAGGCUUUGAAACCAGGACGCCAGUUUUGGCGGAGCCAUCCUUGGGAUACCACCCUUGUAGUACUGGGACUCUAACCAUAGGCCAUGAAUCUGGUCUUGGGACACUGUCAGGUGGGCAGUUUGACUGGGGCGGUCGCCUCCCAAAAGGUAACGGAGGCGCUCAAAGGUUCUCUCAGUACGGUCGGAAAUCGUACGUAGAGUGUAAAGGCAAAAGAGAGCUUGAUUGCAAGACAUACAGGUCGAGCAAGGAUGAAAAUCGGACUUAGUGAUCCGGUGGUUCUGCGUGGAAGGGCCAUCGCUCAACGGAUAAAAGCUACCCUGGGGAUAACAGGCUUAUCUCCCCCAAGAGUCCACAUCGACGGGGAGGUUUGGCACCUCGAUGUCGGCUCAUCACAUCCUGGGGCUGUAGUAGGUCCCAAGGGUUGGGCUGUUCGCCCAUUAAAGUGGUACGCGAGCUGGGUUCAGAACGUCGUGAGACAGUUCGGUCCCUAUCCGUCGCAGGCGUAGGAAAUUUGAGAAGACCUGUCCUUAGUACGAGAGGACCGGGAUGGACGUACCUCUGGUGUACCAGUUGUCCUGCCAAGGGCAUGGCUGGGUAGCUAUGUACGGAAUGGAUAAGCGCUGAAAGCAU
rnacentral:rRNA from 1 species